UUGAACGCUGGCGGCAGGCCUAACACAUGCAAGUCGAACGGUAACAGGAAGCAGCUUGCUGUUUCGCUGACGAGUGGCGGACGGGUGAGUAAUGUCUGGGAAACUGCCUGAUGGAGGGGGAUAACUACUGGAAACGGUAGCUAAUACCGCAUAACGUCGCAAGACCAAAGAGGGGGACCUUCGGGCCUCUUGCCAUCGGAUGUGCCCAGAUGGGAUUAGCUAGUAGGUGGGGUAACGGCUCACCUAGGCGACGAUCCCUAGCUGGUCUGAGAGGAUGACCAGCCACACUGGAACUGAGACACGGUCCAGACUCCUACGGGAGGCAGCAGUGGGGAAUAUUGCACAAUGGGCGCAAGCCUGAUGCAGCCAUGCCGCGUGUAUGAAGAAGGCCUUCGGGUUGUAAAGUACUUUCAGCGGGGAGGAAGGGAGUAAAGUUAAUACCUUUGCUCAUUGACGUUACCCGCAGAAGAAGCACCGGCUAACUCCGUGCCAGCAGCCGCGGUAAUACGGAGGGUGCAAGCGUUAAUCGGAAUUACUGGGCGUAAAGCGCACGCAGGCGGUUUGUUAAGUCAGAUGUGAAAUCCCCGGGCUCAACCUGGGAACUGCAUCUGAUACUGGCAAGCUUGAGUCUCGUAGAGGGGGGUAGAAUUCCAGGUGUAGCGGUGAAGUGCGUAGAGGUCUGGAGGAAUACCGGUGGCGAAGGCGGCCCCCUGGACGAAUACUGACGCUCAGGUGCGAAAGCGUGGGGAACAAACAGGAUUAGAUACCCUGGUAGUCCACGCCGUAAACGAUGUCGACUUGGAGGUUGUGCCCUUGAGGCGUGGCUUCCGGAGCUAACGCGUUAAGUCGACCGCCUGGGGAGUACGGCCGCAAGGUUAAAACUCAAAUGAAUUGACGGGGGCCCGCACAAGCGGUGGAGCAUGUGGUUUAAUUCGAUGCAACGCGAAGAACCUUACCUGGUCUUGACAUCCACGGAAGUUUUCAGAGAUGAGAAUGUGCCUUCGGGAACCGUGAGACAGGUGCUGCAUGGCUGUCGUCAGCUCGUGUUGUGAAAUGUUGGGUUAAGUCCCGCAACGAGCGCAACCCUUAUCCUUUGUUGCCAGCGGUCCGGCCGGGAACUCAAAGGAGACUGCCAGUGAUAAACUGGAGGAAGGUGAGGAUGACGUCAAGUCAUCAUGGCCCUUACGACCAGGGCUACACACGUGCUACAAUGGCGCAUACAAAGAGAAGCGACCUCGCGAGAGCAAGCGGACCUCAUAAAGUGCGUCGUAGUCCGGAUUGGAGUCUGCAACUCGACUCCAUGAAGUCGGAAUCGCUAGUAAUCGUGGAUCAGAAUGCCACGGUGAAUACGUUCCCGGGCCUUGUACACACCGCCCGUCACACCAUGGGAGUGGGUUGCAAAAGAAGUAGGUAGCUUAACCUUCGGGAGGGCGCUUACCACUUUGUGAUUCAUGACUGGGGUG
rnacentral:rRNA from 1 species